rnacentral:rRNA from 1 species
AGAGUUUGAUCCUGGCUCAGAUUGGACGCUGGCGGAAUGCUUUACACAUGCAAGUCGAACGGGACUUGGGGGCUUGCUCCCAAGUUUAGUGGCGAACGGGUGAGUAAUGCGUCGGAACGUACCGAGUAAUGGGGGAUAACGCACCGAAAGGUGUGCUAAUACCGCAUACGCCCUAAGGGGGAAAGCAGGGGAUCGCAAGACCUUGCGUUAUUCGAGCGGCCGACGUCUGAUUAGCUAGUUGGUGAGGUAAUGGCUCACCAAGGCGACGAUCAGUAGCGGGUCUGAGAGGAUGAUCCGCCACACUGGGACUGAGACACGGCCCAGACUCCUACGGGAGGCAGCAGUGGGGAAUUUUGGACAAUGGGGGCAACCCUGAUCCAGCCAUUCCGCGUGAGUGAAGAAGGCCCUCGGGUUGUAAAGCUCUUUCAGCUGGAGUGAAACGGUACGCUCUAACAUAGCGUGCUAAUGACGGUACCAGCAGAAGAAGCACCGGCUAACUACGUGCCAGCAGCCGCGGUAAUACGUAGGGUGCGAGCGUUAAUCGGAAUUACUGGGCGUAAAGCGUGCGCAGGCGGAUUGUUAAGCAAGACGUGAAAUCCCCGGGCUUAACCUGGGAAUGGCGUUUUGAACUGGCAGUCUAGAGUGUGUCAGAGGGGGGUGGAAUUCCACGUGUAGCAGUGAAAUGCGUAGAGAUGUGGAGGAACACCAAUGGCGAAGGCAGCCCCCUGGGAUAACACUGACGCUCAUGUACGAAAGCGUGGGUAGCAAACAGGAUUAGAUACCCUGGUAGUCC